rnacentral:lncRNA from 1 species
AGCCUAAUUAAGUUAGGUUUAACUUAGUCUAAUUGUGCCUAACCUAUUUUGAUUAGGUUGGCUCAAUUAGGUUGAAACCACCUUUUGAAUUCUCUCCCUGCGCCACCUCACUCAUCUGCGCCCAUUUGAAUUCACGAGAAACAACUUCUCAUGAAGUUUCUCCCACGAAGAAGCCUUCCAUGCCCCUCCAUUUGUGCGCCAUUUGGGUGGAUAAAGAUGGUUGGUUGGCCAUUCAAAUUCAAAUGAAGUUUGAAUUUGAAUGGGCAACUAAUCCAUGCGCCACCUAGCCUUAUCCAUUUGUGCGCCAUUUGCUUUACACGAGAAAGAGUUUCUCAUGUAAACUCUCCAUGCACAAGGGAGCCCAUGCCCUUCUCUUCUCAUGCCAAGAGUGGAUAAGGAUGGGUUGGUUAGCAUUUGAAUUC